rnacentral:rRNA from 1 species
UACGUAGGGUGCAAGCGUUGUCCGGAAUUAUUGGGCGUAAAGAGCUCGUAGGCGGUUUGUUGCGUCGGCUGUGAAAUUCCGAGGCUCAACCUCGGGUCUGCAGUCGAUACGAGCAAACUAGAGUGUUGCAGGGGAGACUGGAAUUCCUGGUGUAGCGGUGAAAUGCGCAGAUAUCAGGAGGAACACCGGUGGCGAAGGCGGGUCUCUGGGCAACAACUGACGCUGAGGAGCGAAAGCGUGGGGAGCGAACAGG